rnacentral:lncRNA from 1 species
CGGCGGGUGGCCCGGCGUUACCGCCGCCGCCUUCUCCUAAAAUUCUCUGGCCGCUGUCGGUCCCUGGAAGAACGGCAAACGGCUGGCUCUUCUUCUCAAUCUCGGUCUUCCUCUUUCCCCAAAAUCGCGAUGGUAGUGUGCGAUAGGUUCCAAUCACCGGUGCGCCUGUGCUCCAGCCUCGAUCUCUGUGAGGGUAAAGCCUUCAUAGCUUCCGAUUUGAGGGAAACCCAGCAGAAUCACCGGGAUUCAAGCCGUGAUAUGGUGAUUUCAAUUUUGAAACUCUGAAAUCUGUAAAAUCCAUAAGGGUUUGGCAAUUCUGCAAUUCCUAAAAUCGAUGGAGCUCAACAUCUGCAAGCCUAUAGUGAUUUUAAUUUGUCCAAGCCCCACCGAAUGAUGAUAAGGGCCGCAUCAAGAAAUAAAAUCUAAAGCUAAGAUAUCUACUGCUCUCAUUCAAUUUGAUCUCUCUUUGAACCAAUUAGGGAAAUAGGAAAGUCGAGGAUGCAUAUGUGAUUAUUCUGUUACUCCAUCUGUCCACGAAAAAGUGCCCUACUUACCCCUUUUUUUUUGUCCACGAAAAAGUGCCCUGUUUACCUUUUUGUACAUUCAUACCCUUUACUUUUCAAUUUAUUACAACUUAUGUCAUUAAUAAAUCCACACUUUUAUUUAAUCUAUGCAAUUAACCCAUACAAUUAAUCCCAUUUAUUUAUUUAUUUUCUUAAUUUUCAGUUUAUUUAUUUAUUUUCUUAAUUUUCAGUUUAUUUAUUUAUUUUCUUAAUUUUCAGUUUAUUUAUUUAUUUAUUUUCUGAAUUUCAAGUUUAUUUAUUUUUGAAUUUUUAGUUUAUUUAUUUCCAGUUUAUUUAUUAUUUAUUUAUUUAUUUAUUUAUUUCCAGUUUAUUUAUUUAUUUCCAGUUUAUUUAUUUAUUUUCCAUUUUAUUUAUAUAUUUAUUUUCUGAAUUUUCAGUUUAUUUAUUUAUUUAUUUUCUGAAUUUCAAGUUUAUUUAUUUAUUUAUUUUUGAAUUUUCAGUUUAUUUAUUUCCAGUCUUUAUUUAUUUAUUUAUUUAUUUCCAAUUUUAUUUUAUUUAUUUUUCUUGAAUUUUCUAGUUUANUUAUUUUUCUGAAUUUUCAAGUUUUAUUUAUUUUAUUUAUUUUUUGUAUUUUUCAGUUUAUUUAUUUCCAGUUUGUUUAUUUAUUUAUUUUUCCUUGAUUUCCAGUUUUAUUUUAUUUUAUUUUAUUUUAUUUUUUAAUUUUUUCUAGUUUUAUUUUAUUUUAUUUUUUCGUAAUUUUCCUAGUUUUAUUUUAUUUUAUUUUAUUUUCCAGUUUUAUUUUAUUUUAUUUUUCUGAAAUUUUUCAGUUUUAUUUUGUUUUAUUUUAUUUUAUUUUCGUAAUUUUCCUGAUUUUCCUAGUUUUAUUUUAUUUUAUUUUAUUUUAUUUUUUGUAAUUUUUCAGUUUUAUUUUAUUUUCCAGUUUUAUUUUAUUUUAUUUUAAUUUAUUUCCAGUUUUAUUUUAUUUUAUUUUUCUUAAUUUUUCAGUUUUAUUUUAUUUUAUUUUUCGUAAUUUUUCUAGUUUUAUUUUAUUUUUCUUGUAAAAAAUUUAUUUUCCAAUUUAUUUAUUUUCCAUUUUUUUAUGUAUUUAUUUAUUUAUUUAUUUUCUGAAUUUCAAGUUCAUUUAAUUAUUGAAUCGGCACUUUUGUUUAAUGUUUUCUCAUUUAAAUGCUUUCAUUUAAUUCACCUAAUAAAAUAAUGCCAAAUAGUUAGUGCAAGAUUAGUAAAAGUAACCACAAUACAUUAACACUACCCUUUUAGUCUUUUACACCACCUUUACACCACCUUUUUCAGCUUUCUUAAAACCCGUGCCAGCACCCAAAUGGGGCACUUUUUCGUGGACGGAGGGAGUACUUGUUAGAUACAUAUCCAAAUUGGCCUAACCCUUAAUAUCUAUUUAGGACGAUGCAAAUAUUAAUCUAGAAAUAAGAUAAUUAGAUAAAUUUGUUUGGGUCCUACUUGUCUUUCCCCCAACCCCAACGAGAGGCUGUCUCUUUCAUUUAUCGGAAUUUUUGAUUCAGCUGAAAUCCAAACUUCUUGAGUUGAGCCCUUCCUUCAUCCUCUCUCUCUNACUGUUCAUCAAGAAAAAAAUCCAGCUCGUUUCUUCCCGUUUUGUUCCUCUUAGUUUUCCGGCGACGCCGCCGUUCAACCAUGAGAUCCGACUUUCGCAGCCCCAUCAGGAAUCAUCAUCGAUCUACAUUAUUCUCAACAAAUGGGGGGAUGUUCUUCCCCAAUCUUUCAGAUCUAGGUGAGCCCGCUCAAAAUCGAGCCCAAUCUUUCACCGAUUUCUCGAUCCCCAAAUAUGCAUAUUGAUUCUUCCAUCUCUUCCACUUCCAAUAAAAGACCCCAUGAAAAUCCCUUUAUUCCAGCCAAAAUCGCUACUCUCUAGAUUCUCCGGCGAAAAUCAACCUUAAAGGUUCCACCACCAACACUGAAAUCAAUCUCGGUUCCGGCGGGUGGCCCGGCGUUACCGCCGCCGCCUUCUCCUAAAAUUCUCUGGCCGCUGUCGGUCCUUGGAAGAACGGCAAACGGCUGGCUCUUCUUCUCAAUCUCGGUCUUCCUCUUUCCCCAAAAUCGCGAUGGUAGUGUGCGAUAGGUUCCAAUCACCGGUGCGCCUGUGCUCCAGCCUCGAUCUCUGUGAGGGUAAAGCCUUCAUAGCUUCCGAUUUGAGGGAAACCCAGCAGAAUCACCGGGAUUCAAGCCGUGAUAUGGUGAUUUCAAUUUUGAAACUCUGAAAUCUGUAAAAUCCAUAAGGGUUUGGCAAUUCUGCAAUUCCUAAAAUCGAUGGAGCUCAACAUCUGCAAGCCUAUAGUGAUUUUAAUUUGUCCAAGCCCCACCGAAUGAUGAUAAGGGCCGCAUCAAGAAAUAAAAUCUAAAGCUAAG